ACUUUCUCUUCAAGAGCUUUUAAUACUGUAGCAUUGUUUAUGUGACCUCCCUGUUACCUGUUCACUUUUUUAUAUCAGUAUGCAUGCUUCAUAUUUAUGCCUAUUAUUUUUUUUUUUUUUGUAUUUUAAUGCCUUAAUUAUUUUUUCAUUGUCGUUUUAUAUUAUUCUAUUUGUGUGAAUUGGUAAACCCAUGUGUGCCAUCAGUGUAAGAAGUGGUGGAGAUCCUCCAUCUGCUGAGCUCAAGACUUCAGUCUUAAGCCUAGAUAUACAGUGGUACCUUGGGAUAUGAACUUAGUUCAUUCCAGAAGGCUGUUCAAGUGCCAUUACUGAACGAAUUUGUUCCCAUAAAGAAUAAUGUAAAUUAGAUUAAUCCAUUUCAAACCCCCAAAAAUACACUUACAAAAGCACUUACAUAAAUACACUUAUAGUAUAAUUGUUUGAGUUUUCAGCUUAUCGUAUCCUGAGGUACCACUGUAUGUAUUAUGAACCUGCAUGAUUGUUUUUUUUAAUGAUUCAAUGAACACUACAAAUGUUUCCACUGCAUUGUUAUCUGCUAGCAACAUGGUCUUUGGGGAACCCUCAGCUGAUAAAAAGGCAUAAGAAGCAAUUAAAAAGCAAGUGGGGGUGAAAGCUUACACUAAGUGUGAAGGAUGUGAUGGAUCUUACUGGAGGUCAAGAGAAGCAAGAGUUGAGUGAAUGAGGUACACUGACACAUUCCAGGCGAGCCCUUUAGCACUCCUUGUGCAGAAAUGCAUUUUCAAAUAACAUACAAUCCUGUAUGCCCGUUCAUAAUGACAACCAUCAAGUGCAUAUGUAUGUUCUAUGAAUACAGAAAACUGGCUUAUUUUCACAAUAUAUGUUAUACCUGUAUACUAUAGUACAUGUAAGAAUAAUUAUGUACAUUUAUCAAGAUUUAUCACCUGUGUAUUUUAAAGCCAUAAUAGUUUGUGAAAAAGAAUUUUUGUAAUAUUCCUGUUGUUUCUUUUUCCAGAAAACUUUUGAAUAGGAUGUUCGUGGAACAGCACUAAGCAAAUAGGGGUCAUACACCACCAGGGGAAUAGGAAGCAAUUGGAUUUGAUUCAAAGAAAGGGAGGGUAGUUCCAGUUCUUUAAAUCAAAAGCCUCUCACUACUAUCAAGGCACCUUCCUCCAAAGAUCUUUUGAACAAUAUAUGUAACAAUGACAGGCACUUCAUCUCAUGAUGUACAGUGGCUUUGGAGAGAUCAUAUAGCAAUGUGCUGUGUUGCCCCUAUGGAUUUUGCACUUUCCCCUGAGGAUGAUAUUUUUACAGCUAUUAAAGCACUAAAAUUUAUACAACAUUCUGUUCUCACUGCAAGGUAAACAGGUUGUAAAAGCUGGCAAAAUGCAAAAGAGUCACUUUAUGCAAUAGAUGUGUUCUUGGCUGAUGACACGUAAAGUGAAAUUGCACAUAACGAACUCAUUAUAACAUGCGAGGGAUAAGGAUUCAUUCUGCGACUGCAAUUUCCACAUUAUUUUAUUUUUUGUUUUUUAUUCCAAAUUCAUUUGUGCUUUGUGAAUGUUCAUUUCAUGUGUUUAAAGUUCUCAUUUUUUUUUGAUGAAGAUUGGUCAAGGAUUGUAGAUUUAUAUAUAUUGUGGCAUUUUUGAUGAAGAUUGGUCAAGGAUUGUAGAUUUAUUUAUAUUGUGUCAUUACACAAGUGGUUGGCAGGUGGGGAAGGAAAAGCAGGUGGUUGGUGAAGGAUGACAGUGGGUGGGAAGCCAGUGACCUGUGAAGGGAGGCCCCAGCCCAGUUGAGUGGGCAGGUAAGGGAGGUCUAUCUAAUUGGAGUUAAAGGAAGACUGGAAGAAGAACAGGGACAGUUAAAUGAGCUGGUUUUGUUUGAUACUGGUAAAAAAUCAAGUAAUGCUAUGCUUGAGUGAUCGCAUGUGAGUGAAAACAUACAGAGACCAUACACUCCAAUUGCAUAUCGAGUGAAUUUUUGCCACAUAUAGUGAAUUCCUGGUAGGAAUAGGGGUGCCACAUAUAAGCGAAUUCGCACAUAGCAAAUCCGCAUAAAGCAGGGAAACCUGUAUUGUGUAUAUAGUUACUGUCUGCCUGCCUGCCUCUGUGUAUUUGCCUAUAUGUGGUUGCAGGGUUGAGUCACAGCUCCUGCCUGUUUUUUCUUUAACACACCGGCAAUCUCCCACCAAGGUAGGGCGACCCAAAAACAAGAUAAAACUGUUUCUCCAUCACUGUCUUGCCAGAGGCAUGCCAAUAUUACAGUUUUAAUAAAAAUAAAUAGCUCAGUAGCAUGCUCAGCUCACACAUUGAGGUCCAUGGUUUGAUCCCCAGUAUUGGUGGAAACGCAUGUUUCAUUAUGAUACUUGCUGUCCCUGUUCACCUUGCAGUAAAUAAGUACCUGGGUGUUAGCUGACUGGUGUUGGUCACAUCCUGGGGACAAAAUUAAUCUAAUUAAUUAGGUUAAUUAGGGGCUUUCUAUACAGUAUGUCAUUGAUGUCACCUAGGUUUGUAUAAGUUGUAUCAUGUACUUGUAGAAAUCUCUGGAAGUGAGAAUGACAUCACUCAGACUGUGAUGAAUAUGUGGGGCUGUGGACCACCAACAGCUGUUGCUGUUGGUGGCCUGGCCAUGAGUCGGGCUCCAGGAGUAGAAAAACUCUUGGAACUCAUCACUGGUAUAUCAUACCUCUAAUUUCUUUGCCUCCACUGUCAGGUUUCUGUCGUCACAUCUACAGUCUGAUGGACUCCUGUGAGGCACUGGCAAAAGGCAUUCAUUUUGGUGACACUUGUUCAAACCUUUCUCACGAGCUUCUUCCGACUAGAAAGGGCCUUCUGUUCAGUGGAGAUACUUUUGGAUCAAGCCCUGAUAUUAAUUAAUGUGGUGCAGUUUAGUAAAGUGGUACUUUCGCAGCUACGUCAGUCAUUGGUACAGAGUUAUAAGCCACAGUCCUCACCACCAUCCUAUCCCUCCCACAUUUUUAAUUUUUUCCUAGGUUUAUUUAUUAAUCACACAAAAACACUAAAACCAUAGGGGUCAUAUAGGGCUUGGAGAAUGGAUGGCAUUCACUUUCACUCCAAAGAAGGGGAGGAUAAGUCUAGUUGUCAGGAUCAAUCCAGGUUCUGGAUUAAUUGGAGUUUCUAUUUAUGUAAAAUUUGAUGAAGAAAUUAUGAUUUUUAUAGCCAUGUACUUGAAUGAUGUACAUUAUGCCACAUAUCUAUGACUUAUGUUUCAUAAUUUAUAAUAAAAAAAUGUCUAGGAGGAAUGCUAAUAAAUCUACAGCACAUGAGGGAAGCUCACAUCAGCUGAUGCUCCCACCACCACCUGAUGUGUGCCAAUUGAUUUCUUAACUACUUUUCAGAACACAUGAAGUAUAUGUAUUAAAAUUUGAUACAAAAUGUGGACGUUUGGUGUAGGUGUGAAGAGUUCUUAUUUUCUGGAACAAUUUUGUCAGAAAUUUAGAUUUUUAAAUUGUUUUCAGAUUUUUCUCAGAUGUUUAUAAAAAAAUAUAGUAUGUACUGUAAAAUAACUCAGUAAUAUGAUCUAACUUGCAAAAUAACUCAAUACUCUCCUCUAUUCCCCUGACCAACGAUGCCCCUAACAGUACAACCAUGUAUAGUAUUCCCUUUUGGCUUUACUCCAUAUAGUUAGGAAAAUCCAGCACAUGUUGCAUAAGUAGAAUUCAUCAAUGCCAGAGUAGAUUAGCAAUGAAGCACACAGUGAGCAAAUCUCAGCCAAAUUAAGUUUUGAAUAAGGAGAGGAAUUAUAGCCUAUAGUCCUUUGAAAAUGAAGUGCCUUGAUGCUGGUGAAUGGCUUUUGCUCCAAGGAAUUAGACCUGACCUCCACAGGUGUUGUAAGACACCUAUAGCUUUAGUACUCUCAUGAAUGUAAUAAUGUAACUUAAUAUAACCUAUGGUGUUGACAUAUUAACUUAUGCAUGGCACAUUCAUUAUGAUCUAUUAUAACUUAAUCACCUUCCUUGGAUCAAACCUUAUUAUUUUUCCAUUCCCAAGCACUGUAUGAGCCUCAUGGGUUUAGUACUUCCCCAUGAUCAUGCAGGCUAUUUAAAUUUUAGUUUUUGUUUUAAUUUUUUUUAUUUUUCUAAAAUUGUAAGGCAAUGACUACUUGGUGUUCUUGAAGACAAGCCUUGCUUUAUCUUGGCUAAUCACCUGUUAUCAUCAACACAAACCUUGAUUUAUCUUGGCUAAUCACCUGUUAUCAACACAAGCCUUGCUUUAUCUUGGCUAAUCACCUGUGUUAUCAACACCACCAUUGAUAAAAAAAAAAUUAAAUGGAAACUGAUUGCUAACCAGCUAUGUUAAUUUUGGUGAAUGCAUUACAGAUAGCUCAGUUCUGAAAACAUUAAUUUGUGAAUGUUAUAUAAUUAACAGAUGAGUGUGUUAGGACAAGUGUUGUGUUACCACCAAGUUAUUCUUUCAAGCCAAGUAAAGUUCACUGUGGAUCCACUGUUCUUGGUGUCUCCAUACAUAGCGACAAGUGUAAUUAUUAUUCUUACAUAAUGAAGUGGUAUUUAGCCUCCACAUUAUCAUUGAAAGUCAAGCCUUGAUGCUCUACAAAAUGAUGAAAUUGUUGUAAGGGUGAAAACUGCAACAAACUUGAUUUUGUUCCUGUGUGCAUUUUUUAUCACAGUAUGGUAUAUUUUGAGUUACAUAAAGGUGCUCCUUCCAUUUGUCAUAGUUUGAUUUUAAUGUGUAUGUCAUUUGUCAUUCUCAAUAAAGUGUUAUUCUCUGUA